CAGCUGCGCUUGAAGAACAGUGGUGACUGCGUGCGAGAGGGUGGCCUGGCCCGUGCCCUCAGCGUUGACGCCUCAAUGCGGGCCUCUGUGGAUGAGGAUGACGCCCCGACUGCACCCGAGGACGUCCCCUGGCGUGAGCCACCGUGUCUGGACGGCCCCAAAAUGUGCCCUGGGACUCCCUGGGAA